rnacentral:lncRNA from 1 species
UUCAGCUUGAUCCUACCACAGAACCAGCCUUUUUCACCAGUUUAUUCAGACGUCUUGCAUCUUUGUGUUUGUGUGCAGCAUCUUACCACAGAUGUCUUUUGAUCAGAGUCUUCUCAGGCAAAAGAGGCGGCUCUGCCCCUUUCUGUAGAUGAAGUCUAUACUCUUAGACCAAUCCAACUUAUUAUCCAGAUGUACACCUAGGUAUUUAUAUGAUGUCACCACUUCGAUGUCCACUCCACAGGUGUUCACUGGCUGAGGGGGAGUGGAUCUACGGAAGUCCAUAACCAUCUCCUUUGUCUUUGAGGUGUUGAGGAGGAGGCAGUUUUUGUGACUGAAGGCUCUUAUCAGAUCUCUGUAAUCAGCUUCUUUUUCAUUUCUGAUACAUUGCCACAAUAGUCAUCUGAGUAUUUCUGGAUGUGGCAGGACUCAGUACUGUAUUUGAAGUCUGAUGUAUACAGUGUGAACAGGAAUAGCGCCAGCACUGUCCCUUAUGGAGCCCCUGUACUGCUCAUUAAUGUCCCAGAAACACAGUUCCUCUAUAGAUGAACCCCAACCACUGAAAUAAUAUACUAACUUCUUCCAGAUAUAAUGUGAAAUUUAUUCUGAAAAUCUACUUGAUAGCUGCUGUAAAAUUUAAUCCUAAAGACAGGUAGAUCAAGACAAGAAUCUUUCUACACAGACUAGGUCAACAUUUGUGGCAUUGAGUGAAAACUCUUGAAACUUUUAGAUUACAUUAACAUUUCUGUUUAAAUGACCAAGACAUCAGAGACCCUGAAACUGAUUUGUUUGUUAUCAAAAGACCAUCAGUGAUUUCAAAAGAACUGUUCAAAGAAAUAUUAAAAUGCUCUCUUUGAAUUUUUAUUAUGGACAUUGUUGACCCUCUAGCAAAAACAUUUGAUCUUAAACCAGGAUGAUCAACAGCAAAAUAGCCUUACACCAGAACUUGCUUUUUUAACUGUAUGAAUGAAAGCAGUCAUUGAAGAGUUGUGGGAGUUUCGCUUAACAUAAUGUUUACACAAGAAAAACUCUGAAAAAACACAGUGUGUGUUAUCCAGGAGUUGAAAGUGACUCUUUGAUGAGUCUGUUGUGCAUGUUUGCAGACACAAGUUGAAUCUCUGAUGGAAAGGUAAACAGCAAAAUCGUGAAAAUAUGGAAAAGCUUGGAGUUGAUUGAGGCACAGACAGAGAGGAUUAGGCCUGCAGACAGAAAGAGAUGAGAGGAGAAGUCUUUUAAAAGGCCUCUUCAGAGGCGCAGGGGCCCGUGAGCCUUCAUGGGCUCCAUAUGAGGAUCAGUCAAUGUCUGGCAGAGGGGAAAACUACUUCUAAACAAAGUUUGCCAUAUUGAGCUAAGAAUAUUGUGCUUUUAAAAGGUAAAACUACCAACAUCCCCUUUCUUACAAACAUGGGUCACUUUUAUAAAAGAUGCCUUGUGGUUUUAAAGAACCCAUGCAAUCUGGAAAGAUCUUAAUUUUGAAGUUUCUGCAGAGGUCAAGGAGUCCUGCGAGAAAGACCUUUGACAAAAUAAACUCAACUGAAUUUAAAGUAAAUUAAACUUAGCCAAAUAAAACUCGCACAUCAUAAGUCUGAUUUGUAGCCUGCAUUUGAUUUAUAAAUUUGACACAUUAUCUGGAUUCAUGUAGACAUCCUGAGACUAGAAGUUUGGUGGCUUGACUACAACCCUGCCUGAGACAAACCUUUAGGUGUUGAUGUUAACAAAGCCUGCUGUCACUUUUUCACCUUCCUCUGACUCUUUGAGUUGGUGAACAAAUCAAAGAUUAUGGCGGUCAUCCAGAGUUCAGGUACAGGAUUGUUAUUCCUCCUCACUUUAAAUCAUAGGCUCCAGAGUUUAAGGUCCCAGGUGUCUCCCACGGCCACCCUCACACUUCCAGCAUCACAUGGCCCCCUGGACUGUCACUGUCAUCACUUACAUCAUGUUUAAUCAUCAAAAAGGUCGACCUUUCAUCAACUCUCGGUCAGGGGUUGAUAACACAUACAGUAUAUGCCACAUUCCUGUGGGCCUUACCUGGGUAAUAUGAUCCCUGGUCUCCAAAGACACCGGCUCCAUGAAUGUCACUGUUAAGUCGUGUGUUUUCAACCCAAAGGCACAUGGGGGCAGGAGUAACAUGAGACCUGUCCACUGAUUAGAGUCACGAUAACUCCCUGUGAAACCAUUUCUAAGUAUGUCGAGGGCUUAUCAGCUGAAUAAAGAUGUUCUGAAGAGUUGGAUCUGAGUUUGUCUGAUGAAGUAUCCAGGAGGAACAACCACUGGUUCUCUAGAGGAUGUUUUCUUUGCUCAUGCAAACGUGCAGGAUAAGGAACUGCAAGUGCAAACACUUAACUGCAGGUGAUCAUUAUUGUCUGGCUACAAAAGACAUCAAAAGAUCAUGAUGGAGAUGUAGAACAACUGCAGCAAAACUGUCUUCAGGUCUUCAAGUUUAUUAUUUGAAGGGUCUCGAUGGAAAACAGAGGGAAAAAACUCCUGACAAGCACCAAGAAUAUCCAAAACAUUCCAUUAAACCACAAUUAGUUCAUAUAAUUAUAUAAAUAUGGAUUCUCUGGUAGAAUCAAUACGACCGUUAUUAGUAAAAACCACAAAGCAUUCCAAAAAGGCUCUAAAACGCUGUAACUUAUGACAUUUUCAGUUCAAUAUUAGAGCAGUUUUAACCACAGGGCAGCAACUGUAGCCUUUCAACAAGCCUUCGAUUGGACGUCCAUUCUUCUCAUGCUUGGGAUAGCUCUGUAAUUCGCAGCAUUAAUGGACAGAACCGGACAAGGGGGGUACAGAGGGGGGACCAGAGGGCAGGAAUUAACUGGUGUUAAAGUCUCAUGACCUGAGAUACUCUCUCACUUAAAACAGAGCUAACAGCUUAGUGACUAAUCAGGACCAGCAGGAAUGUAGGACAGCUACAGUGUGAAAAGAAGAGGAGAGAGAGGUCCUUCAGUAUGAUGACAAGUCAUGUUUACCUCAUGUAGGGGAUUGUGUGUUUGACUUAAUUUUGAAGUUUCUGCAGAGGUCAAGGAGUCCUGCGAGAAAGACCUUUGACAAAAUAAACUCAACUGAAUUUAAAGUAAAUUAAACUUAGCCAAAUAAAACUCGCACAUCAUAAGUCUGCAAAAAUUUAAUGGCCAGGGUGACCCCUAGAAGAGGGGUGCCACUUGAAGGGCCAUCAAAAUAGUACCUGCAGUUAUUGAAUGGUAGUUUAGCUUGAAAUGUCCUUUCCUACUUUGAGACAGCAAUAAAUUUGUGGCAUGGACAGAGAUGGAAGUGAAUACUCACAUCUUGACUCUCAAAUCUUUAACUCGUUGGAAUUUGUCCUGUAAAAGGUUUAUCGCCUUUUGGUCACUAGGUGGCAGCACUACAAGCACAAAGAACAGAUUAUUACCUCACCCUGGUAGGCCCUUAAGAUAAGAUAAGAAAAACCUUGGAGGAAAAUUCAAUAAGCAGCUGAGGGGAUGUUUUUAUCGUAACUCCAUCAUAAAUCUGAAAGUUGGGCCCUAAAAAAUUUAAAUUACAAAUAUCCAUGUGAGUUAAGUGGUGGGGCCCCAUAUGAUGUUCUUUUCAUGGGUGUGUCCAAAGUGGUGGUCAGAGGUGCCAUUACCCACUCCUUCCUGAAACAAGACUAGCCACCCCUCGUGCCUUUCUGAAAUCCUAAAUUCUGAUUGGCUAUUUACCUUUACAAAAAUUAAAUAAAACACUGUACUGCUAUCAAACAGUCAGUGGCUGCUAUUCGAUAGCUUUUAAGGUAUAGUGUUUUCCUUCAUGUUACUCCAUGCAUUAGUUGGUAUAAUGAGUCAACUUCAGCACUUGGCGUUGCAGUCUCCUUUGUUUCCAAAGGGCACCUGAACAGUAGACAGAGUAUGCAGGGGAAAAUCUAAACUUUUUUGACUGGGGUGGCCCAGCUUAGGUGAUGGCUUAGGCCUAGACACACAUAAAUGGAUAAAAGUAGCUGUUUUGAGCCAAAUAUUAUGUAUUUACCAUAGACUGUAUAUACAAUGGACAACUUGGUUCAGCCUUCUGUCAGUUUAUGAAUUUGAAGCCGAAUUGCUCUCGGUUUCUCCGGAACUUUCUCCACUUCCUGGAUCCACCACUUGCGCAGUAGCGCUGUACGCAUUCGGCAGGAGAGUCACUGUGAUGAUGCUCGGCUCAUACAACAUAUCUCCCGGGUGAGCUACGCAAUCUUUGUACAGCCAUAGGCUGUAUCAGGUGUCAAUCAUAGAAAACAUGAACCCCCUACUAACUUUUAAAAAUUGAGCUGUACAGAAAAAAGAGGACUUGAGCACAAACCAGUCUUACAGUACAGCAUGUCAACAUCGCAAUCAGGGAGGAGAAAAAUGUAUAUUCUGUGUUAAUUAAUUUCUCCCACGGCUCCAUAGGGAUUGCUGAAGGAGGCAGAAACAGGAGGGUUAGCAAAGUUUUAAAAGCACCAGAUGUAUCUCAUAUCUUUCUCAAAAUGACUGUUAUAUGUAGUGCAGAGGUGCUUUUUGUAGAUGACCAGUUGAAGGGAUUGAGACAAACUGCAUCCACAGUUUUUUGCUGGUGGUCUGUUUCGCUCCUCGGAUUUCUGGCACUUAAAGAUCAAUUUCUACCAGAGUUCAAAGAGUCGCAUGUUUGUUAUUCUAUACUGGGUCACCAACAUGGUGAAAAAAUGUCCCAGUAACUGAAACAUGACUGAGUCUUUAGCAACAGGAGUCAAGUUUACAAGCUGGUUAUCGACUUUGUUAAGCAACAGAAAUCUAAAAAUUGAAGCAAGGAUAAUUGUCUCCUUUUUUGCCUUUUCUUUACUUCCAAUGAAGUCCCCUAAAGGUUUUUACAGUCAGGAGGAAAUUAUGUAUAUGCAUACUAUGUGUUUAUCUUGCCAGUAUCCUAAAAUCUCGUCUGUAUGGCUGUCCCGUGUUGUGUAACUGUCAGCUUCAAAGAAAAACCUACUGCGAAUACACACAGACGCUGAAGUUUUGCCCUUCAGAGCUGAACAGACAUCAAAGCAGAAAACAUAUGAGUCCACAUGUGAAUGUGAUGAUGCUGCAGUAAAACAGUGAAAAUUCCGACAUACCAUAGUUUGUUUUUAAAGGUUUCUGGCCUGUUAUCACUCAACAUAACUGAUUUGAAAUGGUCCAGAAUAUGUAAAGCAAGUACAAGGAGCUACCUGGACCAGGAGAAGCAGAUUUUUGAUCCUCUGCAGCUAUGACAUGAUAGAUAUAUUUUUUUAGUCAUCAACGUUAAGGUAGAGAAACACUAGAGGCUGAUUUGAAAUUAGCUUUAAUUUUGAAUUAAACAAAAGUUCAUGUUUGCUUGAGAUAUUCCUUGUAAAUAAAAAACUAGUAAUCUGAUCUACCCAUGAAUUUUCAGCAUUGAAAGAUGGAGUUUGAAUGUUGGCUUUCAGCUAUCUUUUUUUAAAAAAUAGUAAUUAGUCAACAGUUGUCAAGAAGCCAACUUACUCCUGAGGUGUUUUAUAGUUGAGGUGAAGGGUUUGAUUGGUCACACACAGACUGUAUAUAGAAUAGACGCUGUCUGCCUCCUGGCUAGGUAAAGCCACUGCGAGAACAGCACCCUCUGAUGACGGGCUACAGUAUAGGUCAUAAAUCCCGCCUCCUCCAGCAAUCCCUAUGGAGCUGUGGACAAAUUUUAGAAAUUUAUUACACAGAACAUAAUUUUUUUUCUCUCCCCUGGUUGUGAUGUUGACAUGUAGUUAUUGUAAGACUGGUCUGUGUUCAAGUCCUCUUUUUUCUGUACAGCUCCAUUAUUAAAAGUUAUCAGGGAUCCAUGCAUUCUAUGGUUGACACUUGAUACAGCAUAGGGGGGUACGAAGAUUGCGUAGCUCACCUGGAGGAUACCCUGUUUGAGCAGAGCGUCAUCACAGUGACUCUCCCACCGAAUGCGUACAAUGCUACUGUGCAAGUGGUGGAUCAAGAUGGAUGACAGGAUGCUGGCCCACACAGAUCAAGAGGUUCCUACCUUAGAAAAGUAUCAAUGAGACUGUAUUAGUUAUGUAAGAAAUUUUAAAGCUGCUGAUAACUAGUUGAUAGGGCUGGAGUCAAUCAACAUUAAUGGAAGCUGAGGAAUCAAUCAACUGAAGCCAAGGUUCCAAUUGAAAGGAUUUAUUUACAAGCUGUCAAGCUGUGUUUUCUGUAUUUAACAAAAAAGGAAAAUAUAAACAUAAUUUAUUAAUUGUUAUCUUUAAACAACAAAGUAAUGCUCAAUAAUUCUAACUUAGUAAUCAGAAUCCGAUAGAUUCAAACAAUGCCUUUAACACAAGAUUCAUUAAAUGAAACAAUCUGAAUUGUCUUCAAAACAGUCUAUAAAUUAAAUACAUUGUACAACACUCACUUUGACGCACUUGACAGCCAGGAUGAAACAACAGUAGACAGUAGAGCAAACUGAACAAUGGGCUCAGGAGUCCUUUAUAGACUCCUGAUCAGGCCACAGUGGUUACACCUGUGGUUGAUUGCUGCAGCCUGGGCAGGUGUGCCUGCUGCUCCUCAGUUGAGUCAGAGCAGACAUGAAGGAUUUUAGCAGCUCCUAUGAAGAUUUUUAACCAAAACUCUUGUUGGUGUUUUUUCAUGAUAUCCAUAAUCAGACAACAACAUUAGUGACAGGAUUGAACAUUUUUUAUAUCCUAAUUUUCAAUGCCUGAAACUGGUGCAAGGGGGUUGGUGUCAGCAGAAGAAACAUUUCCUUUUUUUCUCAUAAAAUAUUCAUAGUCAACUGUCAAAAGUCAGUACUUAGUUUUGUAGAGGACAAGAUAAGCAAAGAUCGUUUUGGCCUCAGUGGGUGCCAAAUUGACAUUAACAAAAAGAUCCUUGUAGGAGCUUUAACAACAAAUUUACAUUAUUCCAUUUGUUUCAUGGCCAAUUUCUAUACUUACGAGUAAUUGAUUUAUGAAUGAUCCUGCUCCUUCUGUUGAAAAUAGACUUCCAGCUUUAGCUGUGUCCAUAACAACAGACAACCACUACAGCAAAUUGCCCUAAUUUAACAAAACUUUUCCUCUAAAAUGUGAUCUCUCUUAUAUUGUCUGUAAUCCAUCCUAACAAUGCAAGAGCAGGGUUUGGAUCUUUUGACUUUCGCAGGUAAACAAACUCAUUGUGUUAAUAUGCCUUCGGUGUUGCACCAACAUUUGCGAAGCAUUGGUACAUGUGAGGUGAGCAGUGUUGGUACGGUCGCUUCAAUGAUGCAAGUAAGACGCUAGUGUUGUCAUCUGGUAGAAACACAUGACCGUUUUGUCUGUGUCCUCAUAAGGUCAUUGGACCAGCAGGACACAUUCAGCAGAAACUUGGCCCUCUACUUGAAAAAAUCAGAGUUAAAAUGAAAAGCAAACUGCCUUCACUUCCUCUGCCUGACUUUCUCCCAGCUGACCUUCCCACCCUGUGGGACAGAAGCUCGGCAUGCUGCGGAGAACGUGACCAGCCAGUGUUUUUUUCUCUCUCUCUCUUCUUCUACUUCUUCUUCACAUGGCCAUGUGUUGAUGUGCAGAGUGUUAUUCCAGCAGCACUCAGAGCCGCGGGCGGGUUUCUCACAUCUGCUCAGCACGUUGUUGUGUGUUCGCUUCCAGCAGGAGGCUUGGCCAUCUUCAGACCAGUAGCUGGUGCAGCUCAGAGACAAACCAGUUUAAUGUGCUGGCGACCAACUUGUGAAGACAGGAUGCUGGCCCACACAUGUUGAAAUUCAUUUAUUUUCAUCAACACUUUUAUCAUUGCUCAACCGCCAAUCCGGCAAAAGUAAAGCUCCAGAUAUUUCCGCGUGGCUCAUUGAAAAAGCUGUUUAGAUAUGCACGGGAAAUUGUAAAGUGCUCAAAUAGUUUUCAUCUCCCCUUGGCUGUUUAUUUCCUUUAUCUCUCCUUGUUGGUUCAAAUUGUAGUCAAAUAUUUUUCGGUUAAGCAGCCUGUGAUUCAUGCUGACUCCAGAUGCCUUCAAUUACUUCUCAUUGAGAAUGAAAGGGUGAGUGAGAGAACAGUGGAAAACUUAUUAAAGUCCAGGUGGUUUGGAGGUAGGAGAGCACGGGUAAAUGAGAGGGAGGAGGAAGCAGGAUGCUGGAAUGUUUGUUGGUCAUCAUCCAUCAAAUGAAUAAGAAUCUAAGGACUCACAGAUAAGACGCAGAAGGUUUGAUUAAGAGCAGGGAGUUUAUUCAUCAAUAUUUGAUCUUAAAUUACACAAAUUGUGAAAAUUUAUUGGCAGUCAGCAAUUGUUUCUUUACAGAUUGUGUCAGUGAGUGGAAACAAUUUGAGUUUUUCUUCGACGAUGGUGUUGAAUAGAGAAUAAGCAACAGAUUAAAGGUUACGUAAAAAAGUACUUGUUAAUUUUUGCUACAAAGUGGAUAAUUAGCUGUUUUUCUUUGUUUCAUCACCUUUAAAACUGAUUAUAGUCAACCAAAACAGGGUCUUAGAAGCUAUUAAUUUGUUCUGUGAUGAAAAAAAACAUAUAAUUCAAUUUUUACUAUCAUUUUCUCGUCUUUAGACUUAGUUAUUAUCCUUUUAUUAAUAAGUAACAUCAACAGUUCUCAGGUGGUGCUUAAAGCUCCUGUGGGGAGAUUUUAUAUUUAUGGAAGAGACGGAAAUUCAUUGUGAUGUUUUUUUAAUGAAAUACAAAAACAUACAAGACCUUCAGCUACGAGAUUGGAAAGUUUUAAGCCAAAAGUUUUAAUGCCUGAGAGUAUGCAUCAGCUGAGCACCUGAAGAAAAAGGCCCUGGUUUUACAUUUUCAACAUUAAAUAUUCACAGGAAAUGAUGCAUUGGAUUGUUAGGAGUCAGCAGGAUAAGAUUUUCUAUUCAAAGACUCUGAGUGUGCAAAGGACAAGAUAGGCAAAGACUCCUUUAUCCACAAGGGGGUGCCAAAACUUGCAUUUACCAUAGACUGUAUACACUAUGGACGACUUGGCUCCGCCUUCUGUCAUUACUCGGAUUUGAAGCGAAAAGCUCUUGGUAUUUCCAGGUUUUUUUCUUCACUUCCUGUAACAUAAAUUGCACAGCAGCAUUGUACACACUCCACCACUUGCGCAGCAGCAUUGUAUGUAUUUGGCAGGAGAUUCACCAAGAGUUGCUGACUCAACAGCUGGCUCAAACAGUGUAUACCCCUGGUGAGCUACGCAAUCUUCAUACGCCAAUAGGCUGUAUCAAUUAUCAAUCUUAGCAAACAUGAACCCCCUAAUAACUUUUAAAAAUGGAGCUGCACAGAAAAUAGAGGACUUGGGCACAAACUAGUCUUAUAAUAACUACAUGUCACUAUCCCAACCAGGGGAAGCAAAAUUUAUAUUCUGUGUAAUAAAUUUCUAAAGUUUGUUCAAAGCUCCAUAAGAAUUGCUGGAGGAGGUGGGAUUUAUGACCUUUUACUCAAGCCCGUCACCAGAGGGUACUGUUCUCACAGUGGCUUCACCCAGCGAGGAGACAGAUGGCGUCCAUUCUAUAUGCAGUCCAUGAUAUUUACCAAAAGUUCCUUACAGGAGCAAAAGAAAUCCAAAUCAAAUAAAGUUAACUUGUUAAGUCUGAGUCCUCGGGCCUGUUCUACGAAGCAGGAUUACUGCUUAGCGAGGUAACUUUGAGGAUAAGUUCGGGGUUUCCUGUUCUACGACGCGGGUUCACCUCUUAGCGAGGCGAGUCUCCAUAGCAACAUACGCUGAACGGCUAAACUGCUCCGGGGCAGGUUAAGUUCCAGAUUGAACUCACCGAGUAUAAAAACCCCGCCCACUGACCAAUGAGCUCUCUCGAAAAACGGCUUGUCCGUUCUUGGAGGAUCCUGUAGACCUCGGUGCUCGCAUUGUCCGAGGAGGAGCACUCCGGCUCGCGAGAGUUUUCAGGGAGAGUUUUCUCCGGAUGACCACCUUUAUGAAAGGCUCAUAUGGCCGACAUAUUACACAAAACAUGUAAACACGAUAGGAAUGAACAAAUGAAUGAUUCAUCUUGGGAAUGAAUGGGCAUGGGCUGUGUGAUCACAGACAACAUCUCGGUACUAUUUAGUAGCAGCGCACGCCCCUUAUAAUAACCCCGUAAAUACUGUUGUUCAGGACUGCUUACUUGUGCUUCCUACCCACUGUAACAACCGUUGUUCUUGCCCACAUGCAACAUUUUUGUUCUCAUUCAUGAAACGCUUAAAUCAGGGACAUUUUCGGGGACAGCUUUAGCGGGGACAGAUCAUCCAAUUCGGGCACUGUCACCUUAGUUAAAAGCGCAUGUUGAACAGUGCUAUUUCAGGGUGAUAAUGACAUCAAAGAUUACUUUUCUGCCAGCAUUCCCUCCGUGCUUUUGUAGCGGCGACGGUGUUGCUUUAGAGGUUUGUGAUAGCUUUGAAUUCUUCAUACUUUCUCAUGAUCGUCUCCUGUUCCUCGUUUGUAAAGUCCGCGGUCCUUCACUCUCCAGCCUGCUCUGACGCUCCAGACUGAUCCAUCUUCGCGAUUGGUCAGAUGCGGCGGGCUCCACCUUAUAUGUGUGCACGCGCUCAUAGCAGAGCUGGAUCCACUUAUGAGGUUGAUAACCAGCGUCGUAAAACCGUGUAGCGAGACUGCUGGCUACCGCGCUAAGUUGAGCGAGGUAGCUCCAAGCCUACCUCGCUAAGUUGAACCUGCUUCGUAGAACAGGCCCCAGAUCUCCGUCUUCCUGGUUGAACCGAAGUUAACACUGGAGUCUGAGUACUGCAGCACUGGCUUAAGCUGCAGCUGACCGAUCAGCAACAUUAGCUGUAAUCUAAAAUAGUGGUGUGUCGGUCUUGAACGAACGGAUCAAAAGAACUAGUUCUUUUUGAUGAACGAAAUGAACUAGUUCUCCCCCCCUAAAUGACCCGUUCAAUCCGUUCAGUUCUUUUGAUUGGCUGAAGAGGGACUGCUUGCCUGUCUUAUCCUAUCGUCGCGCCUCGUUCUGUGUGUGGGUGGGGCUUAGAGAAGCAGCAGCAGUACUACUGAGCUGACUGAAAGACCGGAAUGACCGAGUUGACUGAAAGAACGGGUCAAAUGAACGAAAGACCUAGUUGACUGAAAGAACGGGUCAAAUGAACGAAAGACCUAGUUGACUGAAAGAACGGGUCAAAUGAACGAAAGACCGAGUUGAACGAAAGACCGAGUGAACGAAAGAUCCAGACGGAUGUACGAGUUGAACGAAAGACCGAGUGAACGAAAGACCGAGUUGAACGAAAGAUCCAGACGGAUGAACGAGUUGAACGAAAGACCGAGUGAACGAAAGACCGGGUUGAACGAAAGACCCAGACCGAUGAACGAGUUGAACGAAAGACAGAGUGAACGAAAGACCCAGACGGAUGAACGAGUUGAACGAGAGACCGAGUGAACGAAAGAUCCAGACGGUGAACGAGUUACUGAACGACCCGAAAUGAUCCGGUUCACUGAAAUGACCAGUUUUGCCCACCACUAAUCUAAAAUAUAAUGACCUGCCUGUUAAAAAUAAUGACUUCCUUUGGGAAUUACAGCUGUAGCUGAUGUUAUUAAGAAUUUUUCUUUUUAAUUAGAUUCAUGCAGCUCCGGUUGAGUAGAGAUGUUGCACUUGAAAAUAGUAUAAUACCUCAUCUUAAAUGUAUAAAACAUUUGGGGAUAUUCCCAAGGCCCCAAUAUAACUUCGCAGUGGAGUAAGCUGAUAAUGAAAGCUGCACCAACAUGUGAUAUAGACCUUUGUUUUUCUUAUGUGGUAAAGUGGAUAUCCAUCAAGUUGAAGGGUUGACAGAGUCUUUUACGAGUGGCAGGUCAGUGUAUCAGGCUCCCCUGGCUCUAAACUUCUGUGCUUUAGAUACCUGUGCCGACUAAAGCUAAACUCAGCCACAGAGGGAGACUAGCACAUGAACCUGCAGACUCUUCCUUCAGAGACCAGGUGAAGCUGACACACACACACACACACACACACACACACACACACACACACACACACACACACACACACACACACAGAGAGAGAGAGAGAGAGCGAGAGAGAGAGAGAGAGAGAGACCACAGGAGGGGGUGUAGGGUUUCUUAGAGGUGAGACCUCUGAUGGUAACAGGCUCUGGUUAAGAAGUUUUAAACCAGUCAGACAUGAAUCUUCUUUAUGGCUUUAACAUACCUCCCUUUACAAUAUUUUAUCCAGCUGUGCAUGUACAAAUACGCAGUUUAAACAGCACUCUGUAAAGUUUUGUGGUAUUAAAAAAAUAUUAAUUAUGAAAUACGCUAACAGAAGUUGUUUUCUUGAAGGUUUCUAUACCUCAGGAUAAUAGAGCUGGUCUUUCCAUCAUAAAGAAUGGAUUUAUUUUCUGUUACAAAAAAAAAAUCAUGCCUUGUUUUUCGGAAAAAGAAAGUUACAAAAGAAGCAUUCUCCAGAAAAAAGCGGGAAAUGACUCGUUGCAGCACAGUUCAACUACAUACAUAUUUUUACCACCUCAUCUGCAACUUAUUUCUUUACUCAAACAUUAAUUAAAGACAUUCUGCUGAGAAGAACAUACUGAAGUAUGUGGGCCCACACACUAUUAAAUUGCAUCUAUUAUAUCAUCUGUAAUGUGACACCAGCCUUACAGUUAUUUCUAGCAUUAUUUUUGUCUCAGACAAGGUAAUUAGCUACCUAAAUUGACGUUUGUGUUUAUUUUUUUUAUUUCCUAGAGUUUCUUCAAACCAAAUCCUGAACUUCAGAGUUUCUGAUUCAGUUUGACAGAAAAAUGUUCCCACACUUUUGUGACUUUACUCUUUACUCUAUAAAUGUGCAUACAUCAGGGUGCAAUGAUGGUCUAAAACCGCAUUUAUGGAAGAAAGUCCUGACUGGCUAAUCAACAGUAACCCCCACUGUCAAUGUCGAGUCCAACACCCUCUUCCUGUCCUGAUUUUCAAAUUAAGAACUGUUUAGUGUCUGCAGUGGAGCGUGGUACUCAUUGAGAGGACUCCUGUGUUGUUUAUUCAUCAGCACAUAGAGUCAGCAGUAUAUAACUGUGGAAUAUUGACUUCAUCUCUUGACUGCCACAACGCAGCCCCUGUAUGGGGUAACUCUUGCAUGUCUCAGAGUCUCCUUUGGCUCGAAGGUCAGGGUGCUUGGAUUCUGCUGGGAGUUACCAUGACAGGCAGCUGACAGGGAGCCAUGAAGUAUGGAGUCAAGAUGGAAAUUACAUUUAGUGUGUCAUUUGCUACAGAGCCUGAGGCAGCUGGUUCAUCCCUGGUGAGAUCCGGCUGCUCCCUGAACUCACCUCUAAGUGUUUGUAGAGACUGUAGUGUCUCACACAAUAAGUCGCUAACACUGAGGUUUAGGACCAGGAUCCCAAAUGAUGAGCUGUCAUGACAUUCAUGCAUUUAGCUGAAAAACUGUUGUGAACUUUUUACUUUUUAUUUUUUUGGUUAAGUAGCACUGGUUUAGCAGAUAUAUAUGAUUUCAGUUGCAGUUCAGUAUUCGUGGAGUAUCAAGAUGAAGCAGCCAGGUAGGUUUUUUAGUUUUUAUAAAAAUAUAUUUGACUGUCAAAGGUCAGCAGAAAAGAUUUUUUGUCAGUGCUUCUUAGGCAUGUAGAGGACAAGAUGAACAAAGACUGCUUUGUCCACAGGAGGCUCCAAAGUUGACACAAACUGGAAGUUCCUCACGGGAGUUUUAAAAAUUUGUCCAAGGGGAACAGAAAAACUUCAAAUGAUAGCUGUUUAUCUCUGAUUAAUUAUAUAAUAUCAUUAUCAUAUCCUUUUGUGCUUUUAAGUUUAAGACGACUCAGAGACAUUGAUGAUUUUGCUGUUAUGUAACUUUGGUGGAGACCUGCACAACUGAGGAUUUGUAUGUCCUGCCACAGAUAGUUAAAACUCUUUAAUAAAUAAAAUACUUUCAAUGCUGAAGACAGAUGAAAUGGCUCCUUUAUUUUUAAAAGAGACAGCUAUAUCCUGCUUAACAUACCACAGCCCCACUCAACCUAAAGCAACGUCAAA